GGAUAAUUAAUGACAACCCAACAUCGACUUCUGCAUCCAAUAGCUUUGACUGCCCCGUGAAUGUCCUAAGAUGAACACCCAGGCUAGCUACCUAGUGAUCAAGGCAAGAUUCCUCUCAGAGGUUUAGAGGAGAGAGUUUUACUUAGGAACAAAUCCAAGGAACACCCUUCCUGAGAAUGUGGAGAUAUCCCCAAGCAAAGGGAAAGAGCAAUCAUGGGACAGGGCUGAGAAGAAGAUCCAAGACAGACCAUCACGCAGUGCAGGAGGCUACUGGCUGCUGCAGCUUGCCCUGACCCUCUACAAUGAAGUGGGGCCUUCGGGAGGCCAUUAGGAUAUGGAAUCGAGACCUUCUGUCUAGGAUUUGUGCGUGGCUUUAUAACAGAGAUCCUCCCUCCUGCCACAUGAGGAUGCAGCAAGAGGACACUGUGAACCAGGACACAGGCC